AAAAAUAAAACAUGUCUCAUUGUAUUGCAAUUUUAUAUCUAAAGUUUGAUACCUUUUGAUGAUUUAUCUCUGUUUUUUUAUAGGCUGGUAUAGUUGAAAGCUUAGAUGCGUUGGUAAAGGAGCUAGUUGCGGCCAGUGAAGAUGAGAAGAAAACAAUCUUGUCUCGCAUCGAAGAGGAAGCUAGUAACCUUAAGGGCUCCACAACAAGGUAUGUACUAGUAUUAGCGUUUUAUCAUUGCAUCGAACAAGAGUUCCUUUGAGCUUUCAUGAUGAAUGUCGCUCUAUAAAUAGAUACGGGAAGCUUUACUCGAAACGUGGCGUUGCUUGUGGUGUCAGCCGUAGCAGACGAUGUGGUUGUUUUGACGGAUGAUAGCUUCGAGAAGGAGGUUGGUAAAGAUAGAGGAGCUCUUGUCGAGUUUUACGCCCCCUGGUAUGGUCAUGGACCUAUCCUUUCUAUAUAUAUUUUGAUUGAUGAAUCUGGAUGAGUAUGUGGACUUUUAAAUCGAUGACGAAGAAUAUGGUUUUAGUGAGCAAGUAGAGUUACUGAUGUGAAUUUCUCAUCUUUUUAUGAUAUAAGCUUUUGGAUCUGUUUUAUUCUAAAAUGGUGUGUGUGAUUACAUUACAGGUGUGGGCACUGCAAGAAACUUGCCCCAGAGUAUGAAAAGCUUGGUGCAAGCUUCAAGAAAGCUAAGUCAAUUUUGAUUGCAAAGGUUCGUCACUUGUCUCGUUCCUUUUUUUUUUCUUUUCGUAUGUUAAAGAAAGAUACAGAGGGUGGAUUCUUGACUUAAAACUUGUGUGUUGUGUUGCAGGUCGAUUGUGAUGAGCAUAAGAGCGUCUGCACUAAGUAUGGUGUUAGUGGUUAUCCCACCAUUCAGUGGUUUCCUAAAGGCUCUCUUGAACCCCAAAAGUAUGCUCUCUUAUUUUUUCUCUCCCAAGCUAAUCUAUUAUUGGAUUUAGUAAAAGAUGGUGAAUGAUUGUUUUCUUAUAUAACAGGUAUGAAGGUGCACGCAAUGCUGAAGCAUUGGCUGAAUACGUCAACAAGGAAGGAGGUACUCUCCUUGGUGAUAGCUUAGCUAAGCUAGCCCAAACUUACUUUUGUUUUAUGAGAAAUUUGUUUAGGCAUGGUUUAUGAGGUAGACUAAGUUGGUGAAAUGUUCAAUCUUUUGUCCCUGAUGAUUUUUUUUAAUUCUAUAUGCAAGUGUGAUAUUGCCGGAUAUACAUUGAUUGGCACCACUUCCCCCGACAUUUUUAUAUUCAUUCAUUGUUGUAAAAUUCUUGUCUUUAAAAUUCUUCAAUCAAAUUUUUGUUGUUGUGUACUUACCUAUUGUUGAACAAAUAUGCUUUCAGGUACCAACGUUAAGUUAGCUGCAGCUCCACAAAACGUUGUUGUGUUAACACCUGAUAAUUUCGAUGAGAUUGUACUGGAUCAGAACAAAGAUGUCCUCGUCGAGUUUUAUGCCCCAUGGUACUACACUAUCUCUUUCUUCACUGCCCUUGGUUUUUGUUUUCUAAUUCUGAUUUUUAAAUUUUCCAGGUGCGGCCACUGCAAGUCCCUCGCUCCUGUAAGCUCUUUUGAACUAUGUGUCUACUUUUGAAACAACAAUAGUUCACUUUCACUUUGUUAUUAAUGUUGUGAUUUCUUUAUUUUAAUUCGUCAGGUAUAUGAAAAGGUAGCCACGGUGUUUAAGCAGGAAGAAGGUGUUGUAAUCGCCAACUUGGAUGCUGAUGCACACAAAAGCCUUGGCGAGAAGUAAGUUUGAGUUAUCGAUAGUACUGUAUAAAAGUCAUAUAUAUUUCAAUAGAAGGUUGAAAACAAGUACCUUUUUUUGGUUCAUUAACUAGGUAUGGAGUAAGUGGAUUCCCAACACUAAAGUUCUUUCCAAAAGACAACAAAGCUGGUCAAGAUUAUGAGGGUGGAAGAGACUUAGAUGACUUUGUAGGCUUCAUUAAUGAGAAAGUUGGGACCAGCAGAGACAGUCAAGGGCAGCUUACUUCAAAGGUUAACCCAAAAAUAAAACAUGUCUCAUUGUAUUGCAAUUUUAUAUCUAAAGUUUGAUACCUUUUGAUGAUUUAUCUCUGUUUUUUUAUAGGCUGGUAUAGUUGAAAGCUUAGAUGCGUUGGUAAAGGAGCUAGUUGCGGCCAGUGAAGAUGAGAAGAAAACAAUCUUGUCUCGCAUCGAAGAGGAAGCUAGUAACCUUAAGGGCUCCACAACAAGGUAUGUACUAGUAUUAGCGUUUUAUCAUUGCAUCGAACAAGAGUUCCUUUGAGCUUUCAUGAUGAAUGUCGCUCUAUAAAUAGAUACGGGAAGCUUUACUCGAA
rnacentral:lncRNA from 1 species